UCGGCAUUACUAUACAAAACUAAAGACGACAUAAAAAAAAUCUCCUUAAGCAACUCCCGUAUGCAGUGAACCUUCAGAAUCUGUCAUGUUCAAACUCCGGUAAAUAGAUCCACACCUAUAUGAGAAAACUUAAACCAACACUAUGUGAGAUAAUAACAUUCCCUAUUAGACAUAUGCAAGACAUGGUUGCAAUUAAUUUUUCCUAAAAUCAACCUAUGUGGCUAAAAGUGGCUAAAAAUACAAGAUUUGGCGAAGACCCCACGAAGCCAAGAACCUAAAGUUUACUAAGAACCGGACCCUAUGUGGUCUGCC
rnacentral:lncRNA from 1 species